AACCGACCUAGGUUGAAAACUGGGCGGAUGACCUGUGGAUAGGGGUGAAAGGCCAAUCAAACUCGGUGAUAGCUGGUUCUCCGCGAAAUGCAUUUAGGUGCAGCGUCGCAUGUUCAGUCAUGGAGGUAGAGCACUGGAUGGGUUAGGGGGCCUACAAGCUUACCAACCCCAGCCAAACUCCGAAUGCCAUGGCUCCAGAGUGCGGCAGUGAGUCCUCGGGGGAUGAGCUUCGAUGGACGAAAGGGAAACAGCCCAGACCGCCGACUAAGGCCCCAAAGUUCUGACUAAGUGGUAAACGAAGUGGGAUUGCACAGACAGCCAGGAUGUUGGCUUAGAAGCAGCCAUCAUUGAAAGAGUGCGUAACAGCUCACUGGUCGAGUGAUCCCGCGCGGAAAAUGUAACGGGGCUCAAGUCAGACGCCGAAGUCGCGGAUUUCUGCAUAGCAGGAGUGGUAGCGGAGCGUCGAGCCUGGAGUGAAGCGGCGGUGGAAACCGUCGUGGACCGGGUUCGAGUGAGAAUGUAGGCAUAAGUAGCGAGAGAGGGGUGAGAAACCCCUCCGCCGGAAGUCCAAGGGUUCCUGGGGAAGGCUAAUCCUCCCAGGGUGAGUCGGGAGCUAAGGCGAGGCCGAGAG
rnacentral:rRNA from 1 species